rnacentral:rRNA from 1 species
UACGAAGGGGGCUAGCGUUGCUCGGAAUUACUGGGCGUAAAGGGCGCGUAGGCGGCACUGUUAGUCAGGCGUGAAAGUCCUGGGCUCAACCUGGGAACUGCGCUUGAUACGGCAGAGCUAGAGGAUGGAAGAGGCUCGCGGAAUUCCCAGUGUAGAGGUGAAAUUCGUAGAUAUUGGGAAGAACACCGGUGGCGAAGGCGGCGAGCUGGUCCAUUACUGACGCUGAGGCGCGAAAGCUAGGGGAGCAAACGGG